GUACCAUGAAGUUUUAUACUGAGCGGUUGGAAUGGCCUAAGAAGGAUAAGCGUCGGUUACUCCAUGCAGUGUAUCGUGUGGGUGAUCUUGACCGUA